rnacentral:rRNA from 1 species
CGCUGGCGGCGUGCCUAAUACAUGCAAGUCGAACGCUUCUUUUUCCACCGGAGCUUGCUCCACCGGAAAAAGAGGAGUGGCGAACGGGUGAGUAACACGUGGGUAACCUGCCCAUCAGAAGGGGAUAACACUUGGAAACAGGUGCUAAUACCGUAUAACAAUCGAAACCGCAUGGUUUUGAUUUGAAAGGCGCUUUCGGGUGUCGCUGAUGGAUGGACCCGCGGUGCAUUAGCUAGUUGGUGAGGUAACGGCUCACCAAGGCCACGAUGCAUAGCCGACCUGAGAGGGUGAUCGGCCACAUUGGGACUGAGACACGGCCCAAACUCCUACGGGAGGCAGCAGUAGGGAAUCUUCGGCAAUGGACGAAAGUCUGACCGAGCAACGCCGCGUGAGUGAAGAAGGUUUUCGGAUCGUAAAACUCUGUUGUUAGAGAAGAACAAGGAUGAGAGUAACUGUUCAUCCCUUGACGGUAUCUAACCAGAAAGCCACGGCUAACUACGUGCCAGCAGCCGCGGUAAUACGUAGGUGGCAAGCGUUGUCCGGAUUUAUUGGGCGUAAAGCGAGCGCAGGCGGUUUCUUAAGUCUGAUGUGAAAGCCCCCGGCUCAACCGGGGAGGGUCAUUGGAAACUGGGAGACUUGAGUGCAGAAGAGGAGAGUGGAAUUCCAUGUGUAGCGGUGAAAUGCGUAGAUAUAUGGAGGAACACCAGUGGCGAAGGCGGCUCUCUGGUCUGUAACUGACGCUGAGGCUCGAAAGCGUGGGGAGCAAACAGGAUUAGAUACCCUGGUAGUCCACGCCGUAAACGAUGAGUGCUAAGUGUUGGAGGGUUUCCGCCCUUCAGUGCUGCAGCUAACGCAUUAAGCACUCCGCCUGGGGAGUACGACCGCAAGGUUGAAACUCAAAGGAAUUGACGGGGGCCCGCACAAGCGGUGGAGCAUGUGGUUUAAUUCGAAGCAACGCGAAGAACCUUACCAGGUCUUGACAUCCUUUGACCACUCUAGAGAUAGAGCUUCCCCUUCGGGGGCAAAGUGACAGGUGGUGCAUGGUUGUCGUCAGCUCGUGUCGUGAGAUGUUGGGUUAAGUCCCGCAACGAGCGCAACCCUUAUUGUUAGUUGCCAUCAUUCAGUUGGGCACUCUAGCAAGACUGCCGGUGACAAACCGGAGGAAGGUGGGGAUGACGUCAAAUCAUCAUGCCCCUUAUGACCUGGGCUACACACGUGCUACAAUGGGAAGUACAACGAGUCGCGAAGUCGCGAGGCUAAGCUAAUCUCUUAAAGCUUCUCUCAGUUCGGAUUGCAGGCUGCAACUCGCCUGCAUGAAGCCGGAAUCGCUAGUAAUCGCGGAUCAGCACGCCGCGGUGAAUACGUUCCCGGGCCUUGUACACACCGCCCGUCACACCACGAGAGUUUGUAACACCCGAAGUCGGUGAGGUAACCUUCUGGAGCCAGCCGCCUAAGGUGGGAUAGAUA